GGCAAGAACUUAGAAAAAUUGCACAGGGGU
rnacentral:piRNA from 1 species